rnacentral:rRNA from 1 species
GACAGCGACGUUAGCACGUUGAAUACACCAGUUCCCAAAGGAGCACUGAAGUUCAGUAAUGCUUCGCUUGGUUGGUCUCCGGAUGGGUGACCAUCUGGGAAAUCGCGUGCUGCUGGCU